rnacentral:rRNA from 1 species
CAGUCGCCGCGGUAAUACGUAGGUGGCAAGCGUUGUCCGGAAUUAUUGGGCGUAAAGGGCUCGCAGGCGGUUUCUUAAGUCUGAUGUGAAAGCCCCCGGCUCAACCGGGGAGGGUCAAUGGAAACUGGGAAACUUGAGUGCAGAAGAGGGGAGUGGAAUUCCACGUGUAGCGGUGAAAUGCGUAGAGAUGUGGAGGAACACCAGUGGCGAAGGCGACCCUCUGGUCUGUAACUGACGCUGAGGAGCGAAAGCGUGGGGAGCGAACAGGAUUAGAUACCCGCGUAGUCCCUGUCUCUUAUAC